ensembl:lncRNA
AUGAGGUUCUACUACAGCUGCAUUGCUAUGCUGGAGAGCAAUGCAGGACCGAUUGCGGCGCUCCACAGCAGAAUUUGGCCGGAACAUUCUGCUGACUUCAGCCCAGAAACCACCGCUCACGGGAUCCAGGUGUUCCCGAGGUUUCAGCUCACCGUGAGAAAGAGUAGAGCAGAGGCCGCCUCUGACGGCGAAGCCGCGGGCGAGGAUGAGAUCAGCAGAGUUCCAGGGGGCCCUGCCAUCAGGCUGCUGCAGAGGCAGAAGAUGCUUCCCCUCUCCAUGCUGCUGAGCUGCGAGCCAGGCACGAGGCAGCAGGAUGCGGCCAAGAAGCCUUCUGCCAGCGUGCUCCCACCGUGCACAGGCAGAUCCCCCAGGACAAAGAAAGCGGGACAAAAGGAACCAGCUCCUCCAGCCCAGCCCAGCGCAGCACUCCCUGCAACAGAAGACUCUAAGAGAGCGCUGCAGGAGCUCCGGGAAGUGUCUGCACUGGGGUACAAAGCGGACCGCUUGCGGCCUGUGUACCGGCAGCGGAUCCAAGAAGCACAGGCUGAAAGGGCUGCAUGGGAAGACUGGAGUGCAGGGAAGGACUGGCAGCCACCCCAGCGGUUCGCCAGGGCAAGCAUGUGGGCUCCGCAUCCUCCAACCCAGCCCAGGGGACAGCAGGUGGGGAAGAGACAGAGGAAGGCUGAGGACCCUGAGCUGGGAAAUGAAAUGGGAGCGGCAACCAAGCUGGUACUGCAGGCUCAGGAAGCGUGUGCGGGCUCUGUUUGCUGCUUGAGGCACUCGGGCAGCUGUGAUGACGCUGCAGCUCAGGGACAGCCCCGGCCCAGGCCAAAAACUGCUGGCGGGGUGAAAGGCUGGGGACACACGGCACCACGGGGCUGCGGGGCUGGGUGA